ACUCACUGUCUGUGUUUGGAGACUUCGAGGCAAGAGAACAACUGGUACUGGUGUGUGGACAUAUCCUUCCUCCCCCGGUGUUGAGCUAUGAUAGAGUGAUGCUGGUGCAGUUCAGAAGUGACAGCAGUGUUUCCGCCCGGGGGUUCAGCGCUAAUCUGUCAUUCAUCAGCAAAAAGGAUCUACAAAGUGAAGAACACGAGAACCUGGAGGAGGAAGAAACUUAUGAAUAUGGACUUUUCCCUCGUCCCUGAGAGAGAAAGAGAGAGGCGGGUUUGCCCCAUGAUAACGUUUUGUAUAGAGGGAUGCCAUUGUUUUAAAAAUGGUUUAACUGUUUUUUAGUUGUUUUUAAACUUGUCUGAUCAGUUUUACUUGUUGAGCGGAGCAGCACUUUAUUUUAUGUGUGUGUUCACAUGAAAUAGGCUCCUCCCCAAACCGCUUUUCUUUUUUCUUACAGCAGGGGCUUGCUUGUCAAACUGAUACUUCCUUCCACUUUUAGUAUGUGUCAAACGUUCAGAGUAUUUGUAAGUUUGGGGUCUGGUACAGGAUGUGAAUGGCAUAUUUAAACUAAGCUAACUUUGUGUGUGUUUUUUUUUUAAUCAGGGGUCUUUGAAGGCAGGACACUUUGAAGAAGCAAACUUUUUUUUCGUUCUUUUUUAAUUUUUCUGUUUUUUCCAACCUUUUCCCCCUCCUAAUCUAGUCAU